AGUGAACGCUGGCGGUAGGCCUAACACAUGCAAGUCGAACGGCAGCACAGUAAGGGCUUGCUCUUACGGGUGGCGAGUGGCGGACGGGUGAGGAAUACAUCGGAAUCUACUUUUUCGUGGGGGAUAACGUAGGGAAACUUACGCUAAUACCGCAUACGACCUACGGGUGAAAGCAGGGGAUCUUCGGACCUUGCGCGAUUGAAUGAGCCGAUGUCGGAUUAGCUAGUUGGCGGGGUAAAGGCCCACCAAGGCGACGAUCCGUAGCUGGUCUGAGAGGAUGAUCAGCCACACUGGAACUGAGACACGGUCCAGACUCCUACGGGAGGCAGCAGUGGGGAAUAUUGGACAAUGGGCGCAAGCCUGAUCCAGCCAUACCGCGUGGGUGAAGAAGGCCUUCGGGUUGGAAAGCCCUUUUGUUGGGAAAGAAAAGCAGCAGGUUAAUACCCCGCUGUUCUGACGGGACCCAAAGAAUAAGCACCGGCUAACUUCG
rnacentral:rRNA from 1 species